rnacentral:tRNA from 1 species
CGUGGGAUGGGGCCCAUGCUGCUCAUAACCCAGAGGUCGCAGGUUCGAAUCCUGCCCCCACUACCA